rnacentral:lncRNA from 1 species
CACAAAAAAGUUAUUCUUAUCAAUAAAUGUCAAAUUGCUAUAUAAAAAGCUAUUAAUUACAGAGUUAACAUCCCAUGAUGUUAUAUAGUUUCAAUAUUUGCUCAACACCUUAACAAAAAAACUUAGCUAACAUCCUAAGCUAGAUUAUGAUAUCAUGUUUUACAUAACAUUCCUAGCAAAAUAAUAAUAAGGUUGUGUUCCUUCUAAACUUUCAUCUUGACUUGUAGCUUCAAUCUUCAAAACCUGUAAGUAAAAAUUUUGAAAAGACGAUGAAUAACUAUUGAUGAAAUAAUAUAUGUAAAUUUACACUAGCAAUGGUUAAAUUGCUUACCCCAAAAGCAGUGUAAAUUCAUCAGGUGUUAUCCAACAACAACAUCAAAAGUGCUACAAGAAUAUAAGGAAAUUAAUUAGAAAAGUUUUGGAACAGUAAAUCAAACUUCGAUUCGAUAAAAGAAUCGAAUCGGGGAUUUGUACAAUGUUAGUAAGUCCCUUUUCUCCUAGACUUACUAUUCUUAAAACCUGUAGACUUCAUUUCAGUAUGUUUGAUUUAUCAAUUUUUCAAACAAGAAAAAUUAAAUCUUUCUUUACAAAAUAAGUAAUUUAGACGUCAAUUAUUAAUGAUUUGAAACCAAAAAUUAGCUUUCAAAGGUGCCUGUUCGAAAGUGAAAAUUAAUUUUUGAGGACACAAGAUUCACCAGGGUAAGACACAAAAGAACAUUAUUAGAACUUUCUCAACAUGCAGUUUCAUGUUGUAAAAACGCAUAUUAUCUUGUAUACUUUUUUUUCCUUUUAAUGAUAAGCUAGUCUUACAUCCUAUUUGACAUCCUAAAGUAUACAUUCUCAGGUAUCUGCAUAAGGUCUUAUACAUUUUGAAACAUAUUCUAUCCCUAUGUCUCUCUGAUGUACUAUGAAGCAAAAUCAGUUAGUUUUCGUGCAUCAGAAAUAGGAUAACGAACAAACUGUCGAUGCUGAUUAAAAACCAUUGGUAGACAACAAUUCAGAUUUGAGAAUGAAACGGAACUGUAUCUGAAUAUGACAAAGAAAAUGACAAUGCUAAUCGAACACCAACGACAGACAACAAUCAAGAUUGGCGAACGAGAGUAAGUGAAUCAGAAACCCAUGCAUUAUCCUCAAAAAAUUCAACACUGAUCUUAUUUUCAAUACACGUGAUUAAUAAUGUGGUUAUGAGCAUCCACAUAUUUGUCAGAUAUUAUUACCUGGACUUACUAUUGUUAAAACCUGUAGCCUAAUUCCUUAUCAUAUAUUUCUCCUUUAUUAGUCAAUAACUUGAUUAUAGUUUCCACAACUGCUUGUAAUUGAUUAUAGCCUAAUGCAUUUGAUGAACUUAACAGCAGUUAAGGUUGAGGCCUCAAUAAUGUCGGGACGAGUAACCCUCAAUGCUCAGAUUUUCUACUUCCAACUUCGUGAACCCAAACUGUUAUUCCCAUCAUUGAGGCUCAUUCAUUUAUAAUAUUGCAACAAAUAUAGCAAUAAGAUAGAAAUGGCUAUAUAAAUAUCAACAAAAAGAAUUAAAAAGCAGGGCAUACUGUUACUAACUUGAUCAGCCGAAAAAAGUCAUCAUUCAGCUUAGCGAUGUCGUAGGCGAGACAUGUGAUUGUUGAGCAGCGAAAAAUUUCCUUAUUUUCUUCAUUUCUUUCAUCUCAAGAUAUGAUCACGAUGAUCAUUCAUGUCAACACUCUCAAAUUUAUCCUACAAUAAUCAAAAUAUCCAUUUAGUUAAUGCACUGUUCAAGAAGCAGUUCAUUGUGCAAGUUUAAGAAGAAGUUCAUUCAUAGUCUCAAAAUUUAUUUUAGUAUCAUCACCAAAUCGGUAAACUGACAUAGGAGUUUCAUCUCGAAAGGACUAACAUAGUUAUCCAAAGAGCACACCGUUCCCUGGUGCAUGCGCCCACAUUUGGCAUCUCUGUCCCUAUCACUAACUGGAGCAUAACUUCACACGCCACAUGUACGGAGGUCAUUGUGCCUACAUUUGGCAUCUCUGUCCCUAUCACAAACUGGAGCGUAACUUCACACGCCACAUGUACAGAGGUCAUUGUGUAUGUCACGUCAACAAUAUGUCCGCAUUCUCUGUCCACAUCACUAGAACAUGAAUUUGGAUUGACCCCUAGCAUGUUGACUUGCUUCUUCUCCUAUCAAAAUUCUAUAUUGCCUCCAUAUGGUUGUAUACAUUGACAACAGUGUCAUUACUAGCAUAAACAGAAAUAAUUUGAAAAAACAAAUAAACCAACUUUGUUUUAUAUUGCCUUGAAACAGAGUUGCAUUUCUAUUUCCACAAGGUUUGCAACACCUCACUGAUCAAGCUAAAUCACAAAAAGAGCAUCACGAAAGAGGCAUGCUGGACCAUAUCCAAUAUUGCUAGGGACAAAAAGAGCAUGUCGCAAUUGUACCCCAAUAGCUACCCACAUGUGAUUCAACUUUUCUUGCUUAAUAUCAUUUCAUGAUGAUACUCCCAGCGGACACAUAUUGCGGUCACAAACUAUUCUACCCAAGUGCCUCGAAAAUAGUUUGUUAUUUGUUCCAAUCGUUCGAUUGUUGUAAAAGGUUACUUUCAGCUUUUGUCCGACUUCAAGUGAUGCAACUUCUUUGCGCUUGUUCCUACCUCAAACUCUUUUUACCUUUUCAGGAUUAGAUGAACCUAUAGUUGGAUAAUUUGGUAAAACUAUAGCAACAAAAUUUAGUUUUACAAAUUAAUAACACAUGGAUUCAAAAUGUCAUACCUGUUUCAACUGUUUGAGAGUUUUUCAUAGCUUGAUCACUAGAUGGAGACAAUAAAAUAUUGGUCCGCAUAUGCUCUUUCUUAAGAACCAAUGAGUUUUUAUCCAUUGUUCGCAUUUCUUAAUUAGAAGACAUGGUAAAAUUCGAUCUUGUGCUUUUAGGAGUUUGCAUACGUUGAUUAGCAUAAACUGCAUUCUUAUGGAAAGAUCCCACCUCAUUUUCAGAAAUCCCUAAAGAGGGGCACAAAGAUCUAGGCGUUUGCUCCCGUUCCUUCCUUAUAGCACCUGGACCCAAGAAAUCAUAUUAGUAAAAAAUAUGGCAUUUAAUUAUAUAUGCAAUUAAUUAACUGAUAGCUCAAUGAUAUCAACUACAGUAUAAAUUAGCAACAUUCAAAAAUCUGCAACUCCAACAAGAUAAUAGGAAUCAAACAAGCCAUGAUCCAACAUACCCAAAAUUUAUGUGAAUCAAAAGGUUGCUUAAGACGAAUAAAGGGGAAAUUUCUUUGCAGAAAUUCUAAGAAAGCAAUAACUUACUGUCAAAAUUUCACUUAAAUAGUGUUGGUCAAGGUUAAAGGUUGAAGAAACAGAAAGGCAUAAUAUUCUGAAAUAGUACCAAUCCAAACACACUUAGAUUAUAGAGCAAAUGAUCAACCAAACCACUACAAUAGGAAUCAAACAGCUGAAAUUUGAAUCAAACAGCUGAAAGCUUAAACAAACAUGGAAGAAGGAAGUAAACAUAGGAGAUGAGAAUGAAAGAAAUUUCUAUAACUUCUUGCCUACUUUUUCCUUCCAGUAUCUAGUUACUUAUACUAACUCCCAACACCUUCCUUGCCCUUUAUGUGACUUGCCAGAGUAAGAACAAAAUCAGUUAGCUUCUUUGGCACAGUCCUCACAUGCGUGCUCCUUCUUGACGCCACUUUCUGGACAUCUAGGUUGACAUCUUUCUUGUCCAACUCACUCUCCAGCUCAGUAGGCUCUGGGUGCACAACAUUAUCCAUAUAACAAUAGGUGCCUAACCCAACAUAAAACUAAAAUUCUUAUGUGUCUAUUUUUUUCCAAUUUGUAACUGUACGAAUUGCUACAUAUACCCCAAACCUUUCUCCUCCCUCCAUUCAUUGAUAGCCAUUCACCAUAAUAACUACUAUUAACUAGAAUUACCAGUCAAAUUUAAAUUCUCUAAUAAUUGACAAAAUAACCAUUUAUUAGCCACAAAUUCUGCAAUUACAACUUAAAUAGAGUACGCUGCUUUACCAAAUACCUACGACAACUAGUUUACAUCUUGAUUCUAGUAGCCAAUUUGCAAUCUAGAAGUUUUAACUACAAUACAAACCACAUAAAAUAAUAUACCAAAAAAGUACUUUCUACAAAAUAAUUACCAAACCAUUUCAGACUGUGGAGAACAGAGAUUGCAAAACUCCAAACAUUUGACCAAAAUAUUGAAUGACAAGUUGAAAAUGAACUGUUUUCUCAUUUUUUAUUUCAGAUUUGAAAAAAACUUACUUGUUUCAACACAGAAGAGGAGGCAUACUUGGGAUUCGCAAUUGAGGGAGGUCGAAAACUGGGUAGACCUGCGAUACACAAGCCAACAAACUCGCAACAAACUCGAUUUGAGAAAACAAAAUUCUUGAGUCGUGAAUAGAGAGGCAGACGAGUUCUGUGUAUGUUUAAGACACUAGGGCAUAACUUUUUGUUUUUGG